GAGCCGUUUCCGGGGAACAAAGGAGCUACUGAGGAGGAGCCCUGCCAAACAUAUUUUUAAUCGUUUAGCCAACACCAAAAACUAUUUUUUCUAUUUUAAAACGCAUAUUUAGUUUUUAUUUUAUUUGACAUCAAAAGACAACUAAAGAUAACUUUAUUUGCAUCUUUGAAUAUUUUCAAGUCAACUUUGAACACUUAAAUUGCAUAGGGGCCGAGCGCAGAUAGUUAGAUUUAUUUUUUAAACAAAUAUAAUGGCAUGGGUGAGUAAAGAGAAAUACGUAUAAUGGCAUUUUUGUUUUUUUAUAAUGUAAGUGGUGGGUUAUUUAUCAGCACAUAGAUAGAUCGUUUUUUUUAUCUUUCUUAGUUAAUGUGAAAAUUUCAAGACCUUGAGAAAGACUCUCUGACCGU
rnacentral:lncRNA from 1 species